CCUACGGGAGGCAGCAGUGGGGAAUAUUGGUCAAUGGGCGCAAGCCUGAACCAGCAACGCCGCGUGAGGGAAGAAGGCUUUCUGGUUGUAAACUUCUUUUAUCAGGGACGAAAGAAGUGACAGUACCUGAUGAAUAAGCAACGGCUAACUACGUGCCAGCAGCCGCCGUAAUACGUAGGUGGCAAGCGUUAUCCGGAUUUACUGGGUGUAAAGGGCGUGUAGGCGGGAGUGCAAGUCAGAUGUGAAAACUAUGGGCUCAACCCAUAGCCUGCAUUUGAAACUGGACUUCUUGAGUGCGGGAGAGGCAAUCGGAAUUCCGUGUGUAGCGGUGAAAUGCGUAGAUAUACGGAGGAACACCAGUGGCGAAGGC
rnacentral:rRNA from 1 species